UUCCCCAGCCUCACCUCCAGAUGUUCCAUGGGGGUUUGAAGUGUGGAGGAAGAGUUAACGGAGCUUGGUGUCUCUCUUAUUGAGCAGGGACAUGGGCAGAAGAACCAUGAAUGGAGGGAGGCCAACAUACUCCGAUCUCAGCUGUCAUUUUGAAUUUGAUCUCCUCUGUGCCAGAAAUCAGAUUUAUUGCUGGUGAGAAUGGUGACUCAUGCUCUUUUGAUGCCAACCAACUAAUUUAUCCUGCUGUGGUUUGGUAGGUACAAAUGUUUAGUAUGUGAACAAAAAUAGAGACCCACCCUCUCCCACCAUGCGGGCCCUUAAGAUUAGUCUUGCCCAAGCCUGAGGAUGUCCUUGAACUCCAAUCAAACUUUUACCUCAAAUGUAAUCUGUUUUAUUCUAGGAAUCACUGAAACUUGUAACCGAGUCAUGAAGGAUAGCAAACUGUAUCAAUAAAA
rnacentral:lncRNA from 1 species